GCUCCAGCUUGCUGGAGUGGAUCAGUGGCGAACGGGUGAGUAACACGUGAGCAACCUGCCCCGAACUCUGGGAUAAGCGCUGGAAACGGCGUCUAAUACCGGAUACGCACCAGGAGGGCAUCUUCACUGGUGGGAAAGAUUUUUUGGUUUGGGAUGGGCUCGCGGCCUAUCAGCUUGUUGGUGAGGUAACGGCUCACCAAGGCGUCGACGGGUAGCCGGCCUGAGAGGGUGACCGGCCACACUGGGACUGAGACACGGCCCAGACUCCUACGGGAGGCAGCAGUGGGGAAUAUUGCACAAUGGGCGCAAGCCUGAUGCAGCAACGCCGCGUGAGGGAUGACGGCCUUCGGGUUGUAAACCUCUUUUAGCAGGGAAGAAGCGAAAGUGACGGUACCUGCAGAAAAAGCGCCGGCUAACUACGUGCCAGCAGCCGCGGUAAUACGUAGGGCGCAAGCGUUAUCCGGAAUUAUUGGGCGUAAAGAGCUCGUAGGCGGUCUGUCGCGUCUGCUGUGAAAACCCGAGGCUCAACCUCGGGCCUGCAGUGGGUACGGGCAGACUAGAGUGCGGUAGGGGAGAUUGGAAUUCCUGGUGUAGCGGUGGAAUGCGCAGAUAUCAGGAGGAACACCGAUGGCGAAGGCAGAUCUCUGGGCCGUAACUGACGCUGAGGAGCGAAAGGGUGGGGAGC
rnacentral:rRNA from 1 species